rnacentral:piRNA from 1 species
UAGCAAACACGUGAGGCUCUACAAAGCAUU